AAUCAAAAAACACACGGAAACAAUGCCACAGUCAGCUGCUUGAUAUUUCUUCUACGAUGGCUGAUUGCCAGUGUUUCAAAAUGAAACGCUAGUUUCCCAGAUUAUUUGACAGGAUAGGAAGUCCGUUGUCUGUGUACCUUAAAAGGGUGAUGGACUUGGGAUGUCGAAAGAUUGUCUACACUU
rnacentral:snoRNA from 1 species